CAGUUCUCACUUAUAACUAAUCAUGCUCCAUCCUCCAUGUCCCUGACCUGAAACCCCAUCUCCUAUCAAUCCCUAAUUAUGAAACUCUCUCGUCCUCAUAGACCAUUUCUGAAACCCAUCACCAUAUUCCACGCCAAACCCAAAUACUUUUGCGACUUCAGAUCCUCCGUAGUUCAAGAUAAUGACGACAAAUACCAAGACUCGCAAUUUAUAGCCAUCCUCUCAGGCAUUUUACGUGGAAAGCAAAGCUGGACAAUUGCAUUGAACGAGCCAUUCAUUUCAAGCAAGUUAAGGCCUCACCAUAUUGAGAAGCUCCUAAUGCGGUCCCUCGAUGAUUCCAGGUUAGCUUUGAGGUUCUUUAACUUCCUGGGCUUGCACAAGAACUUUAGCCACUCAACCAUGUCGUUUUGUAUUCUAAUUCAUGCACUGGUUAAUGCUAAUUUAUACUGGCCUGCUUCUUCAGUAUUGCAAACAUUGCUUUUUCGUGGGUUGGAUCCAAGUGAGGUUUUUGAUGCUCUUUUGGAUUCUUUCAAGGAAUGUGGAUUUAAUUCUAGUUUGGGUUUUGACUUGUUGAUUCAUAUUUAUGUGCAGAAUAAGAGAGUUUUUGAUGGUGUUAUGAUAUUCAGGUUAAUGAAGAACUGUAAUUUGAUGCCUCAAGUUAGGACUUUGAGUGCCCUGUUAAAUGGUUUUUUAAGGAUUAGACGAUUUGAUACAGUUUUAAUGUUGUUUGAUGAGAUUGCGAGCGUGAAUAUUAAGCCUGAUAUUUAUAUCCAUACAGCUGUAAUUCGAAGCUUGUGUGAGUUGAAGGAUUUUGUAAAGGCAAAGAAAAUGGUUCAAUGGAUGGAGUCCAGUGAUUGUGAAUUGAGUGUAGUGUUGUAUAAUGUGUUAAUUCAUGGGCUUUGCAAGAGCCAGAGAGUUUGGGAGGCUGUUGAGAUUAAGAAUGGUUUGGUUCAAAAAGGUCUAAAAGCAGAUGUGGUUACUUAUUGUACUAUUGUACUUGGGCUCUGCAAAGUACAGGAGUUUGAAUUUGGCGUGGAGAUAUUGAAUGAAAUGAUUGAAUUGGGAUUUGUACCAAGUGAGGCAGCUGUUUCAGGUUUGGUUGAAGGGAUGAGGAGGAAGGGGCAGAUUGGAGUUGCUUUUCAUUUGGUAAACAAGGUUGGAAGAGUUGGAGCGAUGCCUAAUUUGUUUGUAUACAAUGCAUUGAUCAAUUCUUUAUGUAAAGAUGGAAAAUUUGAUGAAGCAGAGCUGCUAUUCAAGGAAAUGGGACAGAAGGGUUUAUGUGCCAAUGAUAUCACUUAUUCUAUUCUUAUUGAUUCAUUUUGUAGAAGGGGAAAACUGGAUAUUGCAAUUCAUUUACUUGGAAGAAUGACUGAGGAAGGGAUAAAAGUUACAGUCUAUCCGUACAAUUCCCUGAUAAAUGGUCACUGCAAGUUGGGAAAUUUGAGUGCAGCAAAUUCUUUUUUUGAUGCAAUGCUUGAUAAAUGUUUGGCACCAACUGUGGUAACCUACACAUCACUAAUAGAUGGAUACUGCAAUGAAGGAGACUUGGACAAGGCAUUUGGGUUGUACGAUGAGAUGACUGGUAAGGGCAUUGCACCAAAUGUGUAUACCUUUACUGCAAUAAUAUCUGGCCUUUGUCAAGCAAAUAUGAUGAUUGAGGCAAUUAGAUGGUUUGAUGAAAUGAGAGAACAGAACGUCAUGCCAAAUGAGGUUACUUAUAAUGUUAUGAUUGAAGGACAUUGCAGGCAAGGAAACACGGUAAAAGCCUUUGAAUUACUUGAUGAAAUGGUAGAGAAGGGCCUUGUUCCAGACACAUAUACCUUUAGGCCUAUAAUAAGUGGCCUAUGUUCUAUUGGAAGAGUAUCUGAAGCCAAAGAGUUCAUUGAUGAUCUUCACAAAGGGCAUCAUAAGUUAAAUGAGAUCUGUUAUGGUGCCCUUCUGCAUGGUUAUUGCAAGGAAGGAAGAUUCUGGGAUGCGUUAAGUGCUUCUCGUGAGAUGAUGGAGAGAGGAAUGAACAUGGAUCUUGUGUGUUACGCUAUACUUAUAGAUGGAACUAUAAGAGAACAUGAUAUUAGGACAUUAUUUGGUCUUUUGAAAGAGAUGCAUGAUCAAGGAUUAAGACCUGAUAACGUAAUAUAUACAAACAUGAUUGACAGGCAUAGCAAGGCAGGGAAUUUGAAGGAGGCAUUUGGCCUUUGGGAUAUAAUGAUUGAUGAAGGAUGCAUUCCAAAUAUUGUAACGUACACUGCUCUGAUAAAUGGUUUGUGUAAGGCAGGAUUCAUGGAUAAGGCUGAGCUUCUUUCUAAGGAAAUAUUGAUUGGAAAUAUCACUCCAAAUCAAAUCACAUUUGGUUGUUUCCUUAACUGCCUUACCAAGAAAGGGAACAUGGAGAAAGCUGUGGAGCUUCAUAAUGCAUUGCUUAAAGGUUUUCUAGCAAACACUGUUUCAUAUAAUAUAAUUAUCCGGGGCUUUUGCAAAUUGGGUAUGAUUCAGGAAGCAACAAAGAUUUUGAAUGAAAUGACAGACAAUGGUAUUUUCCCAGAUCACAUUACUUAUUCAACAAUUAUCUAUGAGCAUUGUAAAAGGGGUAAUGUGCAGGAAGCUGUCAAAUUGUGGCACACUAUGCUUGACAAGGGUCUCAAACCUGAUGCAGUAGCAUACAAUUUUAUGAUAUAUGGUUGCUGCAUAGCAGGAGAACUAAGAAAAGCUUUUGAAUUUAAGGAUGACAUGAUAAGAAGAGGAAUGAAGCUAAAUCGGGUCACAUAUAAUGCUCUCACUCAUAGAACUGACUUGAACUUUAUCUGAUGAUAGGUAGUUAUGCUUGUAAAUAUUUGUUCCAUAGGUGUUAAAUGGGAAAAUAACAGAGUUCUCACGGCCUUGAGUUGGUUGAUAGUCUUCUUGGCCAUAAAAAUGACAGUUCAGGUUGGUGAGAUCAUCCUGGGUUCUGGCUAUGAUAAUCUACAUUGGCAGGCACUCAAAAAUUCACUGGAAACCAUGUUGAAGGAGCUGGUUAAAUGGGGUGGUAGUUAUGAAAUUUAAAUGUUUAAAAUAGGCAUUCUGUAACCUGUUAGACAUUUUCACACUAGCUGGAGUUAUAGGUUUACAGAAAGUGUGGGAGGUGUGCCAUGCCAACUGUGAUGAUGGGAUCCACGGCAACCUUAUAAUUUGUGAUGAGUGAUGGAAGUUCUUAGUGGUCACAAGCAAGGGAUCAUUGUAUGUAUGGGAUCUAAUCAACUGGAGCUGUCACCUUCAGGACUUAUUUACAUCUCUAAUUGCUUCAGAUCAAACUCUUCCACAAAGGGUUAGAUAUCUGGUGAAAUCUGAACAACUAAAGUUAUAUCUGCAAAGUCAUCAAAAUCUGGUUCUCUUGCUGUUGGUUUGGCUACACAUCAUGUCUUCCUGUUUGAAAUGAAUCUUGUGUGUUGGCUAAAGGUGGUAGAUGGUUGGUUCCUUCCAUAAAUUUUUUGCUGGCCCCUGGAAUUUGGGUGUGAUUCAGAGUUUUGAGCUGGCUGCAUUGCAGAUGUAUGUUAGGAUCAUUUGGCCAGAAAGCCAGGUUGGAUCAUUUGUCCAAUCAUUGGUUGAAAAAUUUUGCUGAAUUUUUGAAAAAUACUAGAUUGUGUUAUAUUGAGCAUGCUAAAUAGAAUAGUAACUUAGUAGCCUUGCUAAACUUAUCUUGUACUGCUACUUAGCAGGGGCUGUGGAAUUUAUCUCAUGAAAACUAAUGACAACCAAUUUAUUUGUUUCUCGGUCCUGUUUAUGUGAUUUUGCAUGUGAUUCUUUGCUUCAUGACGUCUCUGUUUCUGGUUAAAGCUUUCAAGUUCAUGUUUAUGGUUAAAAUAACUUGCUCCUUAAGUUUGAACCGUUACAAUGUGUUUUUACAGGAGGACAAAUGAUGUAGUGCAGACAUGCACUCAUUUGGAGGCUCAGUCUUUGGCUUGAAAGUCCCCAAAUGAAUAUUGCCAGUGCCUGGUGUCUUACAUGCGCUUCUUUGACAGGGAGGCAGACAAGUCUGGUUUGCGAGAGUUCUGUGAAAGCUUUCUUGGAUUGCCUGCUGGGAUGGCUGAAUCCACAUCUGCGGAUACAAAGAAUUUGGCUUGGCAACCUUGUGUGCUUGUAAAGAUUCCUUCACAUAUUUUACAAAUGCGUGAUCCCAUAUUCAAUGAUUGUGGUUCUACAAUAUUUAUAUUAUUAGUGAUGUUUCUAGCUUGUGAUCCCAGGAAUACUGUUUCAAGUAGCUUCACAAUCAUAAUUAAUUCUUCUAUUUUUCUCAAUUUUUAGUUAAGAUUAUUUUAGGCAAAAUGCAUUGGCUAAACAUCGUCUGAUUUCUCCCGUCUCACAUUUUGCAGGGAAUGAGAAAGCAAAAACUCUUGAGAGAAGAUAUUGUUCCAGCAAUGGCGUCAAUAUAAAAGGUCCAGCAUUUACUCAACUUGUUCAUGGGUCUCCUGUCUGAAUAUCAAAGUGAUGCAACCAAGCUUCACCAGAAACUAAUCGACCAGCCAGAAACUGAUCAAAUGGACCUUGAUCCCCCAGCAACCGAACCAGCUACAGCUCAAACAAACUCUGCCCAACCAGCAAAAGAUGAUAAAGGCAACUUGGCUACGCUAAGAACUGAUCAAGUAGAUUCGUGUCCGAUAUUGGCAGAUCAAUCUAGCUAUAGAAGCUGGUCCUUGAAAGAUUUCAUAUGCUUAAUUGAGAAAUGGAGAUAUCACGAUAAAUUAAUGAAACUCUCUAUUAUAUGCAUUUAAACGAAUAUUGGGUUAUUUAAAAUUUUUUCCCCUGAAUGGAGAUAUCACGAUAAAUUAAUGAAACUCUCUAUUAUAUGCAUUUAAACGAAUAUUGGGUUAUUUAAAAUUUUUUCCCCUGAAUGGAUGUUCUGCACAAUAAAAAUGGAUAGAUUGGAA
rnacentral:misc_RNA from 1 species